AAGACUAUAGACCUGCGGAGUACCUGCGGAAGGAUCAUUAAAAAUGCAGGGGGACUCUUUGGGGUCUCCCACUAUUUUUAUUCUGUGCACCGUUUAAUUUGGGGGGCUGAAUUCAUUUUCGGUCACCCGCCCUGGGUUGGUUCGCUUUCUCCUUUGGGGGAUGGUUCGGCCGCCCAGACAACUAUUAUACUAUUAUGACUGAACCAUAACAGAAAAUUGUUAACAUAUAAACAACUUUCA
rnacentral:misc_RNA from 1 species